UGCAAUGAGACUAGCCUCGUGGGGUGCAAU
rnacentral:piRNA from 1 species